rnacentral:rRNA from 1 species
GCACGUAGGGGGCAAGCGUUGUCCGGAAUUACUGGGCGUAAAGGGCGUGUAGGCGGCCUUUCAAGUCAGGUGUGAAAUUCCAGGGCUCAACCCUGGGCGUGCACUUGAAACUGGGGGGCUUGAGUGCAGGAGAGGAAAGUGGAAUUCCCAGUGUAGCGGUGAAAUGCGUGGAUAUUGGGAGGAACACCAGUGGCGAAGGCGACUUUCUGGCCUGUAACUGACGCUGAGGCGCGAAAGCUAGGGGAGCAAACAGGAUUAGAUACCCUGGUAGUCCUAGCCGUAAACGAUGGGUACUAGGUGUAGGGGGUUUAGACGCCCUCUGUGCCGCAGUUAACACAUUAAGUACCCCGCCUGGGGAGUACGGCCGCAAGGCUGAA